rnacentral:rRNA from 1 species
AACGAACGCUGGCGGCAGGCCUAACACAUGCAAGUCGAACGCUGUAGCAAUACAGAGUGGCAGACGGGUGAGUAACGCGUGGGAACGUGCCUUUCGGUUCGGAAUAACUCAGGGAAACUUGAGCUAAUACCGGAUACGCCCUUCGGGGGAAAGAUUUAUUGCCGAAAGAUCGGCCCGCGUCCGAUUAGCUAGUUGGUGUGGUAAUGGCGCACCAAGGCGACGAUCGGUAGCUGGUCUGAGAGGAUGAUCAGCCACACUGGGACUGAGACACGGCCCAGACUCCUACGGGAGGCAGCAGUGGGGAAUAUUGGACAAUAGGCGCAAGCCUGAUCCAGCCAUGCCGCGUGAGUGAUGAAGGCCCUAGGGUUGUAAAGCUUUUUCGCCAGGGACGAUAAUGACGGUACCUGGAUAAGAAGCCCCGGCUAACUUCGUGCCAGCAGCCGCCGCCG